AAUGGGUCAGCGACUUAUAUUCUGUAGCAAGGUUAACCGUAUAGGGGAGCCGAAGGGAAACCGAGUCUUAACUGGGCGUUAAGUUGCAGGGUAUAGACCCGAAACCCGGUGAUCUAGCCAUGGGCAGGUUGAAGGUUGGGUAACACUAACUGGAGGACCGAACCGACUAAUGUUGAAAAAUUAGCGGAUGACCUGUGGCUGGGGGUGAAAGGCCAAUCAAACCGGGAGAUAGCUGGUUCUCCCCGAAAGCUAUUUAGGUAGCGCCUCGUGAACUCAUCUUCGGGGGUAGAGCACUGUUUCGGCUAGGGGGCCAUCCCGGCUUACCAACCCGAUGCAAACUACGAAUACCGAAGAAUGUUAUCACGGGAGACACACGGCGGGUGCUAACGUCCGUCGUGAAGAGGGAAACAACCCAGACCGCCAGCUAAGGUCCCAAAGUCAUGGUUAAGUGGGAAACGAUGUGGGAAGGCACAGACAGCCAGGAUGUUGGCUUAGAAGCAGCCAUCAUUUAAAGAAAGCGUAAUAGCUCACUGGUCGAGUCGGCCUGCGCGGAAGAUGUAACGGGGCUAAACCAUGCACCGAAGCUGCGGCAGCGACGCUUAUGCGUUGUUGGGUAGGGGAGCGUUCUGUAAGCC
rnacentral:rRNA from 1 species